UCCAAUAGCGUAUAUUAAAGUUGUUGCGGUUAAAAAGCUCGUAGUUGGCACUCUGUUCCGGACUGACGGCGCACCGCCCGGUGUUUGUCCGUCACGCUCCGAACAGCAGGGCCGACCCUGCCCCGCCGGCUCGCCCGGGGUGCUCUUCACCGAGUGUCCCGCGUGGCCGGCAAGUUUACUUUGAAAAAAUUAGAGUGCUCAAAGCAGGCUACUCGAAUGGCCUGGAUGGUGGAUGCAUGGAAUAAUGGAAUAGGACCUCGGUGCUAUUUUGUUGGUUUUCGGUGCCAGAGGUAAUGACGAAUAGAAACAGGCGGGGGCAUUCGUACUGCGACGCUAGAGGUGAAAUUCUUGGACCGUCGCAAGACGAACUACUGCGAAAGCAUUUGCCAAGGAUGUUUUCAUUAAUCAAGAACGAAAGUUAGAGGUUCGAAGGCGAUCAGAUACCGCCCUAGUUCUAACCAUAAACGAUGCUGACCAGCGAUCCGCUGGCGUUAUUCCCAUGACCCAGCGGGCAGCUUCCGGGAAACCACAAGUCUUUGGGUUCCGGGGGAAGUAUGGUUGCAAAGCUGAAACUUAAAGGAAUUGACGGAAGGGCACCACCAGGAGUGGAGCCUGCGGCUUAAUUUGACUCAACACGGGGAACCUCACCAGGCCCGGACACCGGGAGGAUUGACAGAUUGAGAGCUCUUUCUCGAUUCGGUGGGUGGUGGUGCAUGGCCGUUCUUAGUUGGUGGAGCGAUUUGUCUGGUUAAUUCCGAUAACGAACGAGACUCCGGCCUAUUAACUAGUCGACGGAUCUCCAGCGAUGGUGUCCAGUUCGUAACUUCUUCUUAGAGGGACUAGCGGCAUUCUAGCCGCACGAGAUUGAGCAAUAACAGGUCUGUGAUGCCCUUAGAUGUUCUGGGCCGCACGCGCGCUACACUGAAGGGAUCAACGUGUCCUCCCCCUCCGAGAGGAGCGGGUAACCCGUUCAAACCCCUUCAUGAUAGGGAUUGGGGCUUGCAACUGUUUCCCAUGAACGAGGAAUUCCCAGUAAGCGCAAGUCAUCAGCUUGCGUUGAUUACGUCCCUGCCCUUUGUACACACCGCCCGUCGCUACUACCGAUUGAAUGAUUUAGUGAGGCCUUCGGACCGGCGCUCCCGGACGCUGGACCCCGCCGUCAGGCGGGGCCCUCGCCUCGAGCUGACGGAAAGAUGUCCGAACUUGAUCAUUUAGAGGAAGUAAAAGUCGUAACAAGGUUUCCGU
rnacentral:rRNA from 1 species